rnacentral:rRNA from 1 species
GAUGAACGCUAGCGGGAGGCCUAACACAUGCAAGCCGAGCGGUAUUGUUUCUUCGGAAAUGAGAGAGCGGCGUACGGGUGCGGAACACGUGUGCAACCUGCCUUUAUCUGGGGGAUAGCCUUUCGAGAGGAAGAUUAAUACUCCAUAAUAUAUUGAACGGCAUCGUUUAAUAUUGAAAGCUCCGGCGGAUAGAGAUGGGCACGCGCAAGAUUAGCUAGUUGAUGAGGUAACGGCUCACCAAGGCGAUGAUCUUUAGGGGGCCUGAGAGGGUGAUCCCCCACACUGGUACUGAGACACGGACCAGACGCCUACGGGAGGAAGCAGUGAGGAAUAUUGGUCAAUUGGUGCAAGCCUGAACCAGCCAUCCCGCGUGAAGGACGACUGCCCUAUGGGUUGUAAACUUCUUUUGUAUAGGGAUAAACCUACCCUCGUGAGGGUAGCUGAAGGUACUAUACGAAUAAGCACCGGCUAACUCCGUGCCAGCAGCCGCGGUAAAAC